rnacentral:rRNA from 1 species
CUACGGGCGGCUCCAGUGGGGAAUAUUGCACAAUGGAGGAAACCCUGAUGCAGCAACGCCGCGUGGAGGAUGACACUUUUCGGAGCGUAAACUCCUUUUAUAUAGGAAGAAGAUGACGGUACUAUAUGAAUAAGCGCCGGCUAACUCCGUGCCAGCAGCCGCGGUAAUACGGAGGGCGCAAGCGUUACUCGGAAUCACUGGGCGUAAAGAGCGUGUAGGCGGAUUAAAAAGUCAGAAGUGAAAUCCUAUAGCUUAACUAUAGAACUGCUUCUGAAACUCUUAAUCUAGAAUAUGGGAGAGGUAGAUGGAAUUUCUGGUGUAGGGGUAAAAUGCGUAGAGAUCAGAAGGAAUACCGAUUGCGAAGGCGAUCUACUAGAACAUUAUUGACGCUGAGACGCGAAAGCGUGGGGAGCAAACAGGAUUAGAUACCCUUGUAGUC